UACGGAGGGUGCAAGCGUUAUCCGGAUUCACUGGGUUUAAAGGGUGCGUAGGUGGAUUAAUAAGUCAGUGGUGAAAGCCCCGAGCUCAACUUGGGAAUUGCCAUUGAUACUGUUAGUCUUGAGUUCGGUUGAGGUAGGCGGAAUAAGUCAUGUAGCGGUGAAAUGCUUAGAUAUGACUUAGAACACCGAUUGCGAAGGCAGCUUACCAAGCCGACACUGACACUGAGGCACGAAAGCGUGGGGAUCAAACAGG
rnacentral:rRNA from 1 species